rnacentral:lncRNA from 1 species
AUCUUCAGUUGACCUCGUUUCUUUUUCCAUAGUUACUGAACAAAUGUGUUGGAGUUCCUGUUGGCUCAGCGGUAAUGAACCCGACUAGUAUCCAUGAGUACUCUGGUUUGAUCCCUGGCCUUGAUCACUGGAUUAAGGAUCCAGUGUUGCUGUGAGUUGCGGUGUAGGUCGAAGACACAGCUCAGAUCCUGUGUUGCUUCGGCUUUGAUGUAGGCCGGCAGCUGCAGCUCCAAAUUGAUCCCUAGCCCGGAAACUUCCGUAUGUUGAGGGUGUGGCCCAAAAAAGACCAAAAACAAAAAGAUGGACAAAUGUGGGUUGCACAGCAGUAUAGGCAAGUGCGCUUUUGUCUGGUUAUACUCACAGAGGGAUGAUCAGUAGGGUGAUGUCAGAUGUAAACAAAGUGCCAGCAGUGUUCCUUGAUGAGGGCAUUUGGUACAGCAGGACAACAGAACGCACGUAUUAGUGGAGGUAGAGAAUUUAGAUCCAAGCAGGUGAUAAUCCCACAGUUCUUUGAAGCAGUGUAGACAGUGGUUAAGAAUUGGGACCUUGGAGCCUGGCCUUGGGCAAGUUCUUUGACCACUGUGCCUCGGUCUCUUCAUUUAUAAAAUGCUGAUAAUACUUCCUCAUACGGCUGUUGAAGAUCAAAUUAGAUCGUUCAUGUAAAGUGUUUAAAAACAGAGCCUGACUAUAAUUUGUAUGUGUCAUGCUUUAGUCUUUUGUUACUGCUACCUCUUUUCUUCUUAAGGAGGUAGUGAAAAUUUCCAGGUUUGUGUCUACGUGCGUGUCCAGAACAGAGUAAUCAGGUUUGGAGAGGGUCUAGAGACUAUGAACAAUGGUUGAAGACACUGGAAUGUGUUCCUUAGUGUCAAAGCUCAGAGAUAGUGAUCAUGAACCGUAAAGUGAAGUACAGGUGGUUCCAGCCAGUCUGAAUCCUAAUAUAUUUCAUCCAGUCUGACAAGCGCUUCCUCUUACAGAGCUGUAGCUUGGUGUAAGAGAAAUCUCCACGAAUCCAGGAUUUAGUAGAGCUCUUUCCUGGUAUCAAUGCAAUCUUUAACCAAUAAUGUGAUCUGAGACAGUUAACCCCGUGGCUUCCCGUGGGGUGUGAUUUACCCCUCAGGGAACAUUUGGCCUCGUCAGGACAUAGCUUUGCUUGACACAGCUGGGCUGGAGAGAUGUGCUACUGUCACUUAAUGGGUAGAGGCCGGGGUUACUGCAAACAUCCUACCAUUCGCAGGACAGCCCUCCAACUAAGAGUUACCCUGUUCAAAUGUCGAUAGUGCUGAGGUUGAGAGCCUCUGGCUUAACUCUUCAGUGUACAUAUUUCUGUUUGUGAAAUUUGAAUACUGGUCUUUGCUUUCUCAAUAUCACAACUAGUUUUAAGAGUAUAUUGAUGAAAGGGCCUUUAAGAGCUAAUGUAUUCUGGAAUCUGCAGAUGUAUACAGUAUAUACAUUUUGUCAGCAGUGGCACAGUAACAUAUUUACUCUAUUCCAUGGAGAAAAAUAUUACAGUAGUUUGAGAGUCCAUUAAGCCUAUGCUUGAAUCUCAGCCCUACCAUUUUAACAUGCUGUGUGAUUUGGGAUGCCUUUCUUCAUCUGUGAAGAUAAAAUUCAUGUUUCAUAGAGUUUGGACUGGGGUAUAAGACUUACACACAUACUUUAUAUGUAGUUAACCAUUGUUUUUAAAAUUAACUUUUUGUUUUGUUUUCUUUGUGGGGUUUUUUUGAUAAUAGCAUUGAGUGGUGCUUAUUAAAAUGUAAGAUUUGGAAAGAAGUUGAAUAAAGAAGUUGGAUUUUAACAUUAAAAGUAAAAAAAAUGAAAACUUUUUGUUUUCAGGAUUUAGAAGAAGUAAAGGUCUUUGCAAAUGUUGCUUUGGCCUUGUAGGUAAGGACCCUACUAUGCACUAAGGUGAGAAGCACUUAUUAGAGGGAGAAGAUGUGUUACAUGGAAAACGAGAGUCAAUCUACUUUAUAUUAGUCUGGAACUAUAGAACUAGCCAGGAAUAUGGUUUCUAUGUUGGUAAAUUGCUCCACUACAAAACUUAUGUUUGUUCCUUUUUUUUUUUUUUUUUUUUUUUUUUGCUUUUUAGCCACAUUGUGGCAUAUGGAAGUUCCCAGGCUAGGGGUCGAAUUGGAGCUGUAGUUGACACAGCCACAGCCCACAGCAACCCAGGAUCCAAGCCAUGUCUGCUACCUACACCACAGCUCACAGCAAUGCCAAUCCUUAACCCACUGAGCAAGGCCAGGGAUUGAACCCGCAGUCUCCUGGUUCCUAGUCAGAUUCAUUAACCACUGCACCACAAUAGGAACUCCAUUAUGUUUCUUCUUAAGCAGUGAAAUUUGCUGUUUUUUCACCUUACUCUCUCCUUCCUUCCUUCCUUUCUUGUCUUUUUAAGGGCUGCACCCUCAGCCUAUGGAAUUCCCAGGCUAGGGGUUGAAUCAGAGCUGCAGCUGCCAACCCAUACCACAGCCACAGCAAUACCAGAUCCAAGCCGCAUCUGCAACCUACACCACAACUCAUGGCAACACCGCAUCCUUAACCCACUGAGCGAGGCCAGGGAUCGAACCUGUGUCCUCAUGGUUACUAGUCGGGUUCACUACUGCUGUGCCACUAUAGGUGCUCCUCACCUUACUCUUGCAAUUCUGGUUUCUGAAGUCAGCCACUGACUGGGCAGAUGUGUCAGCUUUGCAGUCUUAGUGAUUUUCUCUACCCUCUCAGCCGCCCCCAAAAGAUAAAGCAAAGCUUUCAUAUGAUCACUCUUCCUUUUACUUCCACUUGUGCACCAGCUGGGACCUAGGGGUUUAAAGUCCAUCCACAAAUCCCACUGUUUUUCCUACUGUUAUGGCAACCUAAAGCAGCAUGUAGCAUUAUCGUAAGAUCAGUUGAAAGUUAAUGUAUUUGACUUAUGAAUGUUUUUUUUUUUUUCUCGUAAGUCUUGGGUGGAAAGUUCCCUAAGUUGGUGCAACCAACCUGCCCUCUACUUUGUAAAGGCAGAACAUUUUGUAGCAAUGUUUAUCUUCCAAGGAGGUAGCUGUCAGAGACCCAGCAAUGAAAAGUUCCCUGAUUCAGAAAGAGGCGCUUACUCAAGUUGGAGGAUGGAAUUAGUGAUUUUUUUUUAAAAAGAGAGGUUACUCCUGGAGUUCCCGUCGUGGCUCAGUGGUUAAUGAAUACAGGAGGUUGCAGGUUCAAUCCCUGGCCUUGCUCAGUGGGCUAAGGAUCCAGCGUUGCCAUGAGCUGUGGUGUGGGUUGCAGACGAGGCUCGGAUCCCGCAUUGCUGUGGCUCUGGUGUAGGCCGGCGGCUACAGCUCCGAUUAGACCCCUAGCCUGGGAACCUCCAUAUGCCACAGGAGUGGCCCUAGAAAAG